UUUUUCUAUAAAUUCGGUCA
rnacentral:miRNA from 1 species